rnacentral:lncRNA from 1 species
AAGGACAUGACUUACAUAAUAAACCGGGUGCUGCUUACCCCCAACUUCACGUACCAAGACCGCUCUAAUUGCCAAUGAACUAGCUGCUAGGUACAGAUAUAAAGGUUCGGCAGGAAUGGGCUUCACCAGCAAAGGCGCCGAAGAUAAGUAGGACUUGAUGCUUUGAAAGGCGUCUUCACACUCAGAAGUCCAUUGGAACGUUUUUGCAUUCUUCGGCCCUUUCAAUGUGUU